rnacentral:rRNA from 1 species
UCAAUCUCGUGCGGCUACAAGCCGCCAGUCCCUCUAAGAAGUGGGGAGCCGGUUAGGGCCCCCGCGGUCGCCGGCAGAACCUUCAUGCACGGAAGCGACUAGUUAGCAGGCCAGAGUCUCGUUCGUUAU